rnacentral:sRNA from 1 species
CAGUCAUUGGGGAGUAGCCUCUCUUCUACCUGAAGAGGCUUGCGUCAACAUACUUGGUCAUCCGACCAUGGCGUAAGCGGUUAUUGCUUGGCAAGACCUUUGACCAUACUGCCUUCCCUUUGGCUGGAGAGGUGGUGUGGU